UCCGGCCAUUUCACGUUGAAACAUCGGUUCCCGUACGAUCACCGAAGUUAAGCAAUGUCGAGACUGGUUAGUACAUAGAUGAGUGACCGCUUGUGAAUGCCGGGUGCUGUAAG
rnacentral:rRNA from 1 species